rnacentral:lncRNA from 1 species
UAGAGAGGGGAGUAGUCACUGUUAACGCUUGAGCUUGAGCAGCGUGCCACCGUGAUGGAGUAGCCGUGCCACCGUGAGAACGCAAACGGAGUCUCUACGAUUUUGCCCUAGGUUUUCAUCUCGAUUCCUUUCUUUCUGUGUUGUGUAAUUUUGUUAUUGAUUCCAACUCUUUCUCGUUUUUAGACAAUGAGAUAUUAGAGAAUUUGUUUCACCAUAUUCAGUUGAGUGAUUUCCACAUGCUUCAACCUUAAACACAUUCCAAAAACUUGAAAAACCCUUCCAAUAGCGCCCUGAAUUUCCAAAAUUUCCCAAAUUUCCCAAAUGCUGCCCUCAGAAACGAAACCACAAAUUUAAGAACAAGCUCCUACACUGAUAGUCGUGGUUCUUCUUUGGUUCUUUCUUCCAAUUUACAUGCUACUUGUGCUCGCGGUAACAGUUCAUUCUUCUGUAGUUUUUUCUUCUACAGUUCGUUUUUAUUUCGAUUUUCUCAUUGGUUAGGGUUCAUGGUGACCUAAGUAGAGUUGAUCAUUCUCUUGUAAUUGCUUUUGUCACUAUGUUUGGACUAAUAUGCAUAUCUCUAUAUAUCACACCAUGCAUCUAUGACCUCCCUGUACCUCAAAUCAACUCAUAUGUAAUCAUACUCCUUGCCUUUUCUCCAAUAAACAAUUUUGUAGACUCUAUUUGACUAUUUUUAUAAUUAUAUACAUAUAUAUUCCCAUGGACAAUAUAUAUUGUUAUGAGCGUGGACAAUGCAUACUGGUGUUGUUGCCAUUAAUCAAAUCAGUCUUUAAUAAGAUGUUUGGUUUGGUGGAGAAUUAGAUUUAAAUCGAAGUUGGUUUAUAUAAAGGAAAUAAAAAAAAUCGAAGUUGUUCCUACCGACCAUGUUGUUUUUCCCUGUUUCUUUUUUCUUUUAUAAAUUAUCAUUUUCCACAUUUUUUAAUCUACUUUUUCUUAAAAAAUACUCAAAACUGUAACAAUAUUUGUGUAUUGAAGUUGCUGAAAUUUGUAUCAUUCUUAUAGGUAACCUUUUUUCUUCCUUUCUCUCAUGUUUGUUCUGUUAAAGUUUUCAUGAUUUAUCUUGAGAAAUGAAGUUGCUUGCUAAGUGUUUGAGCUACAUUUCUAAGGUUGAAAUAUUGAGUACUAGUUGAUUUCUAAUGUACCCUUAAACAAUAUCCAUCAUAAUUUUAAAAUGAUAGGGCAAUUUGUGAUGCUUUACUUUUUUUAAUUUGUUUAUAGCAGUGUAUUUGUAAAGGAGCUAGUUAGUAUACUUUGAAUGUUUUGGAAGGAAAUUUUAUUGAAGUUUUUUAUCAAAUCUUUGGAGUCAUUAUUUAUGACAAUAAUCAUGCUCUUCCAGAGUCUGAAGAUGUAGAGUAACAGCUCUGAAGAUGUAGAGUAACAGCUGUGUUUUCAGGUGGAAAACAAAUAUGGCUUAACAGUUCUUAUUUGUUUGCAGAUCACAACCAUAAUCAAUUCAGAAUAGAAGAAUAGUGCUUUGAGGUGAGUGUUCAAACUAUUUUGUUAAAGAAAUCAGCAAAUGAAAUGUUAUGGUAAACAUUGAAAGCAAAGUUGAAAGUUGAAUGUUAUAAUAAAAGGGCAUUCUUUUCUUAUUUUAUUAUUAUUGAUAACAGUUCUUACACAGGACAAGUUAUUUUCUAUCAAAUAUUCUAACAAUACUAUACUGCUUAUAGGUCCAAACUAUCAAUUCUGUGUGAUGCUGAGGUUGCUCUCAGGUACCAUUAUUUCUCCUCCUUCAACUUUCCCUUUUCUUCUUCUUAAAUUAAUGUGUGAAUGCUUAUGCUUCCUGUAAUUUUAGCACCCCUCUUGCAACCAAGACUAGUUCCUUUAAUAUGUGACCUUGUAAAUUUCAUGCAUACCUAUAAAAUUUCACUUGUAAUGAUCCGUGUGAAAAGGUUAUUCAUAAUUUUGUGUAGGUUUAUGUGCAUGAUGUGACUACUGUUAGUUCCCUGGAAUAUAUGUAGCUGAAGGUAAUUGAGACUUUAUGAAAUUAUCAUUAAUUUAAAAUGUGUUAUCAAGGAUUGAAAUUGACCACAGUGUGCGUGUGACAAUUCCUAGAAAAGAAUUAUGAAUAAGAAAUGAGUGAAUGUUAAAGAAUAAAGAGGCAUAAUGUUAGCAGUAAUUAUCUAGUGUUGUGCAGGUUGUUAGAAUUCACAUAUUCAGAUAUUCAGAUAUUCAGAUAUAAAAUUAGAAUGAUUAGAAUUCACAUAUUCAGAUUGUUAGGUCUAAGUUAAUAUAACUGUUUCCAAAGGUAAUAAAAUGAUUAGCAGCUGCAGUUGAUGAGGGAAAUUGCAUCAUGUCUUUGCUAUUCUCAUCACUUUGCAUCAUGGAAAUUAGAGGUGUGCUAAAGGAGAAAAAUCUCAUUCUUAUUAUUCUCAUUCAUACCCUUUUACAGUAGUUUCUUAAUUUUAUUCUUUUCUUCACAUGUAUAAGUUUUAUCUUAAACUAUUCUUCUCCUUUUAUGCAUGAAACAUGUCUCCAAGUAACAUUAUUAUACUUUGUUUCAGAUCUAGAACAACCUAUUUGCUCGAUUACUGGUUUGCCUGCCAAGUAAGAUCUCUUUUAUCAACUUGGUAGUUCUUGCAUUUUUCUUUUCUAAUGUUGCAGUUCUUGGUUAAAAUUGUCUUUGGAUAGCUUGUAUUCUUGUUAUUUAUGUUAUUAGUACUUGAGUAUUUUUUUGGGAUGGGAAGUUUGGAUAUGCUUUCCUUGCAUAGAACAAUCGGUUUUAUGUUAUCUACUGUUAAGGAAUUCUUUAGUCUAUUUCCACUAUACCCACAUAUUGUUAAGGAAUUCUCUCUGGAAUAAUAUAGGUAUCGUGAUCCAAAGACUGGCCUGCCAUAUAACUCUUUUCCUUGUAUUAACUAAUUCUGUUUUAGUCCACUUAUUGCACAUCACUCAUAAUGCCAUUUGUAUGUACUUCAACCAUACUUUAUUUUUUUGGUCCAUAAUUGUUCUUUUGUGGGUUUGGAACUUGAUCUUGAGCAUUAUGUAUAUGCAGCUAACUUGACAGAGAAUCCAAGGUCACCGGUUAGUGGGUCUGGCAGCAAUUCAUCUCCCCAUCAAGGUUUUACUUUCAAAACUGCAUUCUGUAAUUAUGAUAAUUGACUAAUUAAAAACAUAAAUUGGUCCAUUGAUCCCUUUACUAAAUUUUUGCUGCUUACUUUCAACCUGUUCAUUUUUUCACCAUGAAUCCUCACUUUUUUUUGUAAUGUAUCUGCAAUUGGAUGUACAUAAGAAUUUAAUUGGUUCAAGAUUAAACAUGUCUUCUGCGCUUCGUAUUUUUAUAUUAGGUGAUAACAUGAUUGUACUUAUUCAUAAUAACUAAUUAGACUUACAGACAAGGUAAAGAAUCAUCAAAUUUUUUUCUACAGGUUUUAUUGCUAAUAAAUAUUUUAUGUAUUUUUUCUUAUUGUUUUCAUUUGUUUCUCAUUUUUUUUAG